UACGAAGGGGGCUAGCGUUGCUCGGAAUUACUGGGCGUAAAGGGCGCGUAGGCGGACAGUUUAGUCAGAGGUGAAAGCCCAGGGCUCAACCUUGGAAUUGCCUUUGAUACUGGCUGUCUUGAGUUCGGGAGAGGUGAGUGGAAUGCCGAGUGUAGAGGUGAAAUUCGUAGAUAUUCGGAGGAACACCAGUGGCGAAGGCGGCUCACUGGUCCGGUACUGACGCUGAGGUGCGAAAGCGUGGGGAGCAAACAGG
rnacentral:rRNA from 1 species